rnacentral:misc_RNA from 1 species
UCAGUCCAAAGCUUAGUGGAUGAUUUCUUUGUGAUUUCUGCUGAUCCUCAUUGCCCUCGGGUUGUUGGUCCACCUUGCACUAGUUCCUGGCAGCCUCCUCAUCAAUUGGAUUGGAUCAAAAUUAAAUUGUGAUGCUUGUUUGAAUACUCCUGGGCAAAUUGGUUUCAGUGUAGUGUAUAGAAAUGAGGCUGGUGAGGGUCUGGCAUGUCCAUCUAAAUGUGCUGUUGGAGAAUGGUUGCCGGAAAUUGCUGAAGCUAUGUCUAUUGCUGCUGUGGCAGAGCCACAACACAAAAAGAAAACAGAGGAAAGGGCAGAGAAAAUAGAAGAAAGGGGAGAAAAAAGGAAGAAGAUUAGAGAAAGAAGAGAGAGAGAGAGAGAGAGAG